UUGGGGGCCCGUGGGCAGAGCCUUAAGUGCCAAGAAAAUCUCCGGGACUGGACCACCCGAGCCACUGCGCUUUUAGGCAGGUGAUCUACCAUUCCUGGAGGAAGGGCAUGUACCAUUAAACUCCGCCAUUUUGCCUCUUGGUGCAUAAGCUUGAGCCCACUUACCCAACUUCUGAGAUCUUAUCGAGAAGCUGCUGAUCAUCAGUUUCAAGUGUUUUCCAUCUAUCUGGAGACUGCCUUUCCCUGAUGCUGGCUGCAACCAAUUACUAUUUUAGAGACAAGUUUAACAACCACCUGACCAUCACCUGAUGGUUGCCUAACAUUCCCGGUGGUGGGGUUGGGGCAGCACUCCUGCCCGGCUCAUGUCUCACUAGCUACCUACUGUAACACCCUUAUUCAACUCUUCCAUACAAGCACUGUUCACAUAGAAUUCUCUUACAGUUCUCUACUUUCUCGUUCUUCAAGCCUAAGUAUCAGUUCUUUGGAACAUCCUCUAUUACUGAGUUCCUCCUCUGGGCUCCCAGAGCAGUGUAUUGUUUUUGUUUAUAUUUGUCUCACCUUUCUUUUGGAAUUUGAGGUCAUAAAGGGCAUUUCUCUAUCCCUCAUGCCUAGCUCAGUGGCUGGCACCCACCCCCUCACUAAGUCGUUGGGUAACAAUGGGAAUGUUGUCUUAUCGUGUGCAAUUUAAAAAUUAUAUCACUAUGGCCAGGCUCAGUGGCUCACGCCUGUAAUCCCAGCACUUUGGGAGGCCGAGGUGGUUGGAUCGUGAGGUCAGGAGUUCGAGACCAGCCUGGCCAAUAUGGUGAAACCCCGUCUCUACUAAUAAUACAAAAAUUAGCUGGGUGUGGUGGCUCACGCCUGUAGUCCCAGCUACUCGGGAGCCUGAGGCAGAAGAAUCGCUUGAACCCGGAAGGUGGAGGUUGCAGUGAGCCAAGAUCAUGCCACUGCACUCCAGCCUGGAUGACAGAGCCAGACUCCAUCUCAUAAAAAAAAAAAAAAAAAAGAAAAGAAAAAGAAAGCAAACUUCAAAAGACUGUGCUACCUUUUGUAUACUGUGCUACCUUUUGUAUAAGGAAGAAGGGGAAAUAUGAAGACAUAAAUGUAUCUGCAGGUUUUUGCCAAGAAAAACAAAGUAUAAAUCAGAAACUCAUCAAAUUGAUUACCUGUGAUGGGGGGAUGGGGGAAAAUGAGGAUUGCUUGAGCUCAGGAGGUCCUGGCUGCAGUGAGCCGUGAUCUUGCCACUGUACUCCAGCCUGAGCGACAGAACGAGACCCUAUCUCAAAAUAAAAACAAAACAGACAAUAUGGGGAAAAUUGAUAAAUUUGGAAUAUAGACUACAAAGUAUUGCAUCCAUUAUAAAUUUCCUGAAUGUGUUAUGACUCUACUGGAGAUAUGGAAGGAUGUAUUCUUUUUUGUGGUUGUUGAGACAGGGUCUCGCUCUUGUCACCCAGGCUGGAGUGCAGCAGUGGGGUCUUGGCUCAAUGCAGCCUCCACCUCCCAGGCUUAAGAGAUCCUCCCACCUUAGUCUCCCAAGUAGUUGUGGCUGGAACUAUAGGUGUGCACCACCACGCCCAGCUAAUUUUUUGUUUCUUGUUUUUUUUUUCUUUUGGUAAAGAUGGGGUUUUGCUGUGUUGCCCAUGCUGGUCUUGAACUGCUGGCCUCAAGCUAUCCACCUGCCUCUGCCUCCCAAAGUGUUGGGAUCACAGGUGUGAGCCACCAUGUCCGGCCAGGGUGUUUUUUUGUUUUGUUUUGUUUUUUGUUUUUUGAGACAGAGUCUCCCUCCCUCUUGUCACCCAGGCUGCAGUGCAGUGGUGAGAUCCCGGCUCACUGCAACCUCCGCCUCCUGGGUUCAAGUGAUUCUCCUGCCUCAGCCUCCCGAGUAGCUGGGAUUACAGGCGUGUGCCACCACGCCCGGCUAAUUUUGUAUUUUUAGUAGAGAGGGGGUUUCUCCAUGUUAGUCAGGCUGGUCUUGAACUCCUGACCUCAGGUGAUCCACCCUCCUUGGCCUCCCAAAGUGCUGGGAUUACAGGCGUGAGCCACUGCGCCUGGCCUAAUUUUUGUAUUUUUAGUAGAUACGGGGUUUCACCACAUUAGCUAGGCUGGUCUUGAACUCCUGACCUCAGGUGAUCUGCCCACCUUGGCCUCCCAAAGUGCUGGGAUUACAGGCGUGAGCCACCAAGCCCAGCCCAGGGUAUAUUCUUAGUAAAUAUAUAAAGAAGUAUGAUGGGGCAAGAGAGUGUGAUAGAUGCAACCUACUCUCAAAUGUUUCCAAAAGGCCAGGUGUGGUGGCUCAUGCCUGUAAUCCCAGCACUUUGGGAGGCUGAGGUGGGUGGAUCAUUUGAGGUCAGGAGCUCGAGACCAGCCUGGCCAACAUGGUGAAACCCUGUCUCUACUAAAAUACAAAAAAUUAGCCAGGUGUAGUGGUGCGCGCCUGUAGUUCCAGCUACUCGGGAGGCUGAGGCAGGGGAAUCGCUUUAACCCGGGAGGCAGAGAUUGCAGUGAGCUGAGAUCUUGCCACUGCACUCCAGCCUGGCAACAGAAUGAGUCUCACACACACACAAGGUUUCCAAAAAAGCAUAUAUAUAUAUAUAUAUACAUACACACACACACACACACACGUAUAUAUGUAUAAUAUACACACAGAAAGAGAAAAUGCAAAUGUGGCAAAAUAUUAACAACUGGUGAAUCUGGGUAAAUGUUAUCCUGACAUUCUAGACUUUCCUGGAAACGCUAGCCUUUUAACAUCUCUGUACAUUUGAAAUUGUUUCAAAAUAAAGAAUUUGAAGCCCGGGCACGGUGGCUCACACCUGUAAUCCCAGCACUUUGGUAGGCCGAGGUGGGCGGAUCACCCGAGGUCAGGAGUUCAAGACCAGCCUGAGCAACAUGGAGAAACCCCAUCUCUACUAAAAAUACAAAAUUAGCUGGGCAUGGUGGUGCAUGCCUGUAAUCCCAGCUACUCGGGAGGCUGAGGCAGGAGAAUCGCUUGAACCUGGGACACAGAGGUUGCAAUGAGCUGAGAUCAUGCCAUUGCACUCCAGCCUGGGCAACAAGAGUGAAACUCUGUCUCAAAAAAAAAAAAAAAGAAUUUGCACAUAAAUAGUAAAAUUAGUUCAAAGCUUUUGGAAAUAUAAAAAUAGUAAAAAUUGGCUGGGCACAGUGGCUCACGCCUGUAAUCCCAGCCCUUUGGGAGGCCAAGGCAGGCAGAUCACGAGGUCAGGAUAUCGAGACCAUCCUGGCUAACAUGGUGAAAACCCAUCGCUACUAAAAAUACAAAAAAAUUAGCCAGGAAUGGUGGUGGGCGCCUGUAGUCCCAGCUAUUCGGGAGGCUGAGGCAGGAGAAUGGCGUGAACCCGGGAAGCGGAGCUUGCAGUGAGCUGAGACGGCGCCACUGCACUUCAGUCUGGGUGACAGAGCAAGACUCUGUCUCAAAAAAAAAAAAAAGUAAAAAUUGUCCAGGCGCAGUGGCUCAUGCCUGUAAUCCCAGCACUUUGGGAGGCUGAGGCAGGCAGAUCACUUGAGGUAAGGAGUUCAAGACCAGCCUGGCCAACAUGGUGAAACUCCAUCUCUACUAAAAAUACAAAAAUUAGCUGGGCCUGUUGGCAGGCGCCUGUAAUCCCAGCUACUCGGGAGGCUGAGGCAGGAGAAUCGCUUGACCCUGGGAGGUGGACAGAGGUUGCAGUGAGCCGAGAUCAUGCCACUGCACUCCAGCCUGUGCGACAGGUGGAGACUCCAUCUCAAAACAAAAACAGAAAAAAACCCCAACAAACAGAUGAAUGGAUAAAGAAAAUGUGGUACAUAUAUAUAAUGGAGUACUAUUCAGCCAUAAAAAAGAAUGAGAUCCUGUCAUAUGUGACAACAUGAAUGGAACUCGAGGUCAUGAUGCUAAGUGAAAUAAGGUGGGCACAGAGACAAGCUUCAAAAGUUUUCACUUAUUUGUGGGAGCCAAAAAUGAAAAACAGUUGAACUCCUGGAGACAGAGAGUAGAAGGAUGGUUACCAGAGAUUGGGAAGGGUAAUGGAGGCAGGGAAGGCGGAAUGGUUAAUGGGUACAGAGAUAUAGUUAGAUAGAAUAAAUAAGAUCUAGUAUUUGUUUGUAAUGACUUCUGGAUUAAGCAUUUUAAAAAAGAUCUUAGCUGGGCGUGGUGGCGCACGCCUGUAGUCCCAGCUACUCGGGAGGAUGAGACAGGAGGAUUGCUUGAGCCUGCUGGGAGGUCAAGGCUGCAGUGAGCAGAGAUCACGCCACUGCACUCCAGCCUGAGUAAUACAGAGAGACCCUGUCAAAAAAAAAAAAAAAGAUUAAAAAAAUUACUUGAUAGCACAACAGGGUGACUACAGUCAAAAAUAAUUUAUUGUACAUUUAAAAAUAACUAAAAGAGGGCCAGGCAUGGUGGCUCACACCUGUCAUCCCAGCACUUUGGGAGGCCGAGGCGGGUGGAUCACUUGAGGUCAGGAGUUCGAGACCAGCCUGGCCCACAUGGUGAAACCCCGUCUCUACUAAAAAUACAAAACUCAGCGAGGUGUGGUGGUGGGUGCCUGUAAUCCCAGCUACUCGGGAGGCUGAGACAGGAGAAUUGCUUAAACCUGGAAGGCAGAGGCUGGGUGUGGUGGCUCACGCCUGUAAUCCCAGCACUUUGGGAGGCCAAGGCAGGUGGAUCAUGAGGUCAGGAGUUCGAGACCAGCCUGACCAACAUGGUGAAACCCCCGUCUCUACUUAAAAUACAAAAAUUAGCCAGGCAUGGUGGUGCACGACUGUAAUCCCAUCUACUCAGGAGGCUGAGGCAGGAGAAUCACUUGAACACGCAAGGCGGAGGUUGCAGUGAGCCGAGAUUGCACCACUGCCCUCCAGCCUGGGCAACAGAGAAAGACUGUCUCAAAACAAACAAACAAAAAAACCUGGAAGGCAGAGGUUGCCGUGAGCCAGGAUCUCACCACUGCACUCCAGCCUGGGCGACAGACUGAGACUCCAUCUCAAAAAAAAAAGGCUGGUCGUGGUGGCUCACGCCUGUAACCCCAGCACUUGGGGAGGCUGAGGUGGGCACAUCACCUGAGGUUGGGAGUUUGAGACCAGCCUAACCAACAUGGAGAAAUCUCUACUAAAAAUACAAAAUUAGUUGGGUGUGGUGGUGCAUGCCUUUAAUCCCAGCUACUUGGGAGCCUGACGCAGGAGAAUCGCUUGAACCCAGAGGCAGAAAUUGCAGUGAACCGAGAUCGUGCCAUUGCACCCCAGACUGGGUGACAAAAGUGAAACUCUGUCUCAAAAAACAAACAAACAAACAAAAAACCCUAAACUAAGAGAGUUUAAUUUGAUUCUUUGUAACACAAAGGAUAAAUGUCGGAGGUGCUGGAUACCACAUUUACCCUGAUGUGAUUGUUAUGUAUUGUGUGCCUGUAUCAAAAUAUCUCAUGUACCUUGUAAAUAUAUACACCUACUACAUUCCCACAAAAAAUAAAAAUAAAAAACUAAAAAAAGAGAUAGUUAUCUUUCAUACAAGGAAAGUUCUCACAGUUUCUCCAAAAUGAGACUCGCUGUCAUAAUGGUCAUUGCACCAGUUGCUGGCUAUUUUAAUUACUCCUCAAAUUAAGUCAUAGUCUUGAAUGUUCUGCUACCUAAAGGCCGAAUUGUAGAGCUAACCUCCAAUAACUUGUAUAAAAAAUAAAAACGAGGAGAGAAAAAAAAGAAAGCUCUUUCCACCAUCUUCCCCUGCCACCAAAAUGGUGCAUAUGACUGUCCCAGCUGAUGCUCUCAAGAACAUCGACAGGCUGGGUGCUAUGGCUCAUGCCUGUAAUCCCAGCACUUUGGGAGGCUGAGGCAGGCAGAUCAUGAGGUCAAGAGAUCAAGACCAUCCUGGCCAACAUGGUGAAAUCCUGUCUCUACUAAAAAUACAAAACUUAGCUGGGUGUGGUGGCGCACGCCUGUAAUCCUAGCUACACGGGAGGCAGGGGCAGGAGAAUCGCUUGAACCCAGGAGGCAAAGGUUGCAGUGAGCCGAGAUCGCACCAUUGCGCUCCAGCCUGGCGAAAGAGGGAGACUCCGUCUCAAAAAGAAAAAAAAAAAAAAAUCAACGAUGCCAAAAAGAGAGGCAAAAUGCCAGGUUCUUAUUAGGCCGUUCUCCAAAGUCAUUGUCCAGUUUCUAACUGUGAUGAUGAAGCAUGGUUACAUUGGCGAAUUUGAAAUCACUGAUGAUCACACAGCUGGGAAAAUUACUGUAAACCUCACAGGCAGGCUAAACGUGGGAUCAGCCCCAGAUUUGAUGUGCAAAGAUCUAGAAAAUGGCAGAAUGAUCUGCUUCCAUCCCGCCAGUUUGGUUUCAUUGUACUGACAACCUCAGCUGGCAUCAUGGACCAUGAAGAAGCAAGACGAAAACACACAGGAAGGAAAAUCCUGGGACUCUUUUUCUAGAGAUGUAACACAUAUUUACAAAUAAAAUGCCUAUGGACCAAAUAAAAAAAAAAGAUGGCUAGCAUGUACAAAUAAAGACAUGAAUAUAUUAUGCAAAAAGGGGCCAGGUGAGGUGGCUCACGCCUGUAAUCUCAGGACUUUGGGAGGCCAAGACGGGCAGAUCACUUGAGGUCAGGAGUUUGAGACCAGCCUGGCCAACAUGGUGAAACUCCGUCUCUACUAAAAAAUACAGAAAUUAGCCAAGCAUGGUGGCACAUGCCUGUAAUCCCAGCUACUCGGGAGGCUGAGGCAGGAGAAUUGCUUGAACCCGGGAGGCAGAGGUUGUAGUGAGCCGAGAUUGAGCCACUGAACUCCAGCCUGGGCGACAGAGUGAGACUCCAUCUCAAAAAAAAAAAAAAAAAAAAAAGCAAAAAGGAAA